rnacentral:rRNA from 1 species
UUUUUUGAGAGUUUGAUCUUGGCUCAGGAUGAACGCUGGCGGCGUGCCUAACACAUGCAAGUCGAACGAUAUAGUGGCGAACGGGUGAGUAA